rnacentral:rRNA from 1 species
UACGUAGGGUGCGAGCGUUGUCCGGAAUUAUUGGGCGUAAAGGGCUCGUAGGCGGUUUGUCGCGUCGGGAGUGAAAACAUCCAGCUUAACUGGGUGCUUGCUUUCGAUACGGGCAGACUAGAGGUAUGCAGGGGAGAACGGAAUUCCUGGUGUAGCGGUGAAAUGCGCAGAUAUCAGGAGGAACACCGGUGGCGAAGGCGGUUCUCUGGGCAUUACCUGACGCUGAGGAGCGAAAGUGUGGGGAGCGAACAGG